AAAUCAUGUUGAGGGAAAAUUCUUAGCAAGACCUUGUAUCUCUCCCAAGAUUCAUAGAAGGAAUCUUCCACCUCUUAUUGAAAGUUGUCUAUCUUCUUCUUAAGCUU